AUCCAAAAGAAAUACCUAUUCUACAAUUAGGAAACAAAAAUGAACAAAUUAGGAAAGGGCCGGGUCUUCUUCUCCAUGAAGCCCUAGCUACAGCUCUGCUUCACCAUUGCAACCUUCAUCAUCCAUAUCCAUUGCCAUUAAGCGGACUCGACUAAAUUGGUACAUCAAGCUAUGGGUGUAUUUCAUCUCAAAUGUUAACAAGUCCCACUAACAUCAUGAAAUCAGCCCAAACGAAGACUUCUCCAACUCAAUGACAUUUAGUUAAUUAUUCAGGUCAGGCGGUGGUCUCACUCCCUUGAUUUUAUACUAUAUUUUCGUUGUUAUAACUUACCUGAUUCAGAUUCUCGUAUGCUUCAUCCCUUAGCUGUGAUAGGUUGAGCUCAACAAGGAGCUAAUACCACUGACUACAACUUUAGGACAAAGCUACAAUGAUCUUCUUCAGGUAAUCUGCGUUUAUGUGCCAUUCCGUUGUGUGCCUCUGUUUAUGUUAUGGCUUUUUUCUCAUUCUAGCAUAUGUUUGCAACGUCUUGAUUUUUGGUAUUCUGUACCACUGUAAUCUGCAUUUAUGUGCUAUUCCACUGCGUGCCUCUGUUUUUGUUAUGGCUUUUUCCUCAUUCCAGCAUGUGUUUGCAGCGUCUUGAUUUUUGGCUUUCUGUACCACUGUAUUCAGUAUUCCGAUAUUAGUUCAUCCAUUGUGUGCAAAAUUGUCAUUCUGUAGCAUAGUAAUCCUUAGAUUAGGAAUCUGCCUUUUGUCCAUGUUUAAUAAUGCCUUAGCUUCACUAGGUAAAGCUUGAAAAGUAUUAUAACUUAUUAAUUCUGUACCUGCAAAAGAAAACACAAUGUUAGCCAUAAAAUCUGCCAACUUGUUUCCUUCUCGCAAUGUGUGUUCAGUGGCCACGUCCAAUCCUUCCUUAAGAACUCGAAUCCUGUUUAUCUCAAGUGUCACCUCCCAAGGAAUGUGCCAAUCUCCUUCUACCAUCUUUUUAACAACUAAUGAAUCUGUUUCCAAAACCAAAGGAAAUAGAUUGUGGUUCCUAAAAUAUUCCAGCCCUAGUCUCAUAGCUACUAAUUCAGCUUCUAAAUUGUUUGACACUCCAAUCCUUUUUCCUUCAGCAUAUACCAGAUUGCCUUGAUCAUCUCUAACACAGAAAGUAGAAGAGCUUGGUCUAGGGUUGCCUUUGGAAGCCCCAUCAGUGUUGCACUUAAAAGAAUUUUCCUUAGGUAACUUUCAAUAAACCACUGUACAGCCUACCUUAGGACUAUAUUCAGUCAGGAAUCUAACAAUUUCAGGCCAAUUAUUGGGCAUAUUAUGCAUCCAUGGAUAUCUCUGCUUACCCAAUAGGAUUAAAUUAUUGCAUAUCCCUCCCUUCAUGCUCAUAUAAGACAUAUGACCACCAAACUUCUUAGCAUUUCUUCUUUUCCAUACUUGCCAAAAAAUAAACAUUGGAACAACCAUUAUCAGAGGUUUAAGUUCUACAAAACAUUUUGCAUUUCACCAUUUAUACACAGUGUCUUUCAGAUGAAUGAAAGGACCCUCCACUCCUACUGUACCUGCAAAAUAUCUCCAUAUUGAAUUAGUAUCAGAACAUCUAAUGAAUAAAUGUUCAAUAGUAUCUUGAACUCCAUCAACACAGUAGCCACCUUCACCCAUCACACAUUCUAUUUCUAACAAGAACUUCACCAAUUGGAAGCCUGUGUUGCCAUAUUCUCCAAGUAAGGAAUCAAAUCUUAAAAGGAAUUCUUGUAAUCCAAAUAUGCUUAUAGUUCAUACAAGUUUCAUUUUUUCCCCUUAAAAACUCCCAAGCAGAUCCAACUGUGAACUUUCCAGAAGCCUUCAGCAUCCACCAAGGUUUAUCCCACUGAUCUUCACCCUCAGAACUCCUAAGAAGUUGAAUUACAUGUCUACUGAUAUCUUCCGCAAAACUUAAUUGCAACAAAUCAUAAUUCCACUCUCCAUUCAAAAAGCACUACUUGACCUCUUCCAAUUGUACAUUUCUAGCAGAGUCAAUGGGCAUAAUGUAAUGAAGUGCCCCUAAUUGUGACCAAUUAUCAUACCAGAUACUUGAAUGUCCACAAUUUGGUUCCCACCAAAUAUGUUGAUCAAUCAAAUCUCUAGCUUCCAGCAUAUACUUCCAAGUUAAAGAACCUCCUUUCCAGUCCAUCAUUUGAGGCCUCUCUUUUUUACAGUAUUUAUUCCAUAUAAAUUUAAACCACAAAGACUUUUGAGUUCUAAAUAUCCACCAUAGUUUUGCAAAUAAAGCUUUAGAAACAUCAAAAAAGUGAUUUAAAUCGCAAACCCCCUUCCUCUUUGGGUUUACACAACUCUGACCAAGCCACCCAGUGCUUGUUACUGCCCACAUCCCUACAGCUCCAAAAAAAUCUAGCAAAAACUCUAUGCAAGUCCUGUAUAACACAUUUUGGAGGAAUAAUAGCAGACAAAAGAUAUAUAGGGAUGCUAUUUAACACAUUUUGAAUUAGGACAGCCUUACCUCCAAAUGACAACAAUUUCCCUUUCCAAGCUUGAAGCUUGUUAUGCACCUUUUUCAUCAAUUAUGCAAAGUGUAUUUUUUUGUUUUUGGCAUGACCAAUGGGACAACCCAAAUACAUAAGUGGGAAAUUCCCUCUAGAAAAACUAGUCUUCAUUUCAAUGUCAGAAAUCAACUCAUUUGCUAUAUUGUGAAAAACAAAGAAUGAAUUUUUUUGUAUAUUAAUCAUCUGCCCUGAUUGCUUCUCAUAAUCCCUUAGAGUUGUCAUCAAUAACUCUAAAGAUGUACCAUCUGUUGAAGUGAAAAUAAUAGUAUGAUCUGCAUAAGAAAGAUGAUUAUUGUUAUCACUCCAUUUUGGUAAUCCAUAACCCUUGUAGCUCUCAUUGCAAUACAAAGCAUUUAAACAUCUAGAGAGAGCUUCAACAGUUAAAAUGAACAAAGCAGGGGAUAAAAGGUCCCCUUACUUCACCCCCUAGAAGAGUGAAAGAAUCCAGAAGCAUGUCCAUUUAUAAUAAUAGAGUACCAAUUGUUAGCAACCAGUCUCCAAACUUUAUCCACAACACCACAAUCAAAACCCAUUCUCUCCAGCACCUUUAUAAAACCCCACUCCACUCUGUCAUAAGCCUUUGCAAUAUUUAACUUGAUCACCAUAUUUGCAGGUUUACCUCUCUUACCAAUAUCAUAAAUAAUAUCCUGAGCAAGCAACACAUUUUCUGUUAUACUACUUACUUUCACAAAACCAAUAUGGUUUUGUGAAAUCAAAGAGGGAAGGAGAACUCCAAUUCUAUCAUUCAUCACCUUUGAAAUUACUUUGUUAAUAAAAUUACUCAACUAAUUGGCCUUAAGUCUGAGAAAGAUUGAAUAUCAUCUUUCUUAGGCAAUAAAAUCAGGUUAGUAUGAGUAAUAGACUUAGGAAGUGUAGCACCUGAAAAGAAAGCAUCAACCACUUUAACAACAUCAUCACCAACAUUAUCCCAGCAAACUUGAUAAAAAUGACCAGUGAACCCAUCAGGGCCACUAGCACUAUCCCCAUUUUGAGAAAACACUGCCUUUUUGAUUUUAUCCUUAGUAGGGUGUGCAUUUAAACUGCAGUUGUCAUCAUUAGUAACACUCUUCUGAACAUAUCUCAUUAUUGGGGUUUCCUCCAUUCUAUAGUUGCUAGUGAAUUGCUGCUUGAAAAACUCUUGAGCAGCUGCUGCCACAUGUUCUUCCCCUUCCAUCCAUUCACCUUCCAUGUUUUGAAUUCUGUUGAAGCUCAAAGUUUUCCUUCUACCUCUCACCAAGCUAUGAAAAAAUCUGGUAUUUUUCUCCCCUUCAAUAAACCAUUGAAUUCCAGCUUUUUGUCUCCAAUAUUCUUCCUCAAAAUGCACAUAUUUUUUCAAUUCUGCAUGGGCCUGAUGUAGAAUUCUUCUAUUAGCUGCAGUGGGGACAUCUUCAAAUAAUUUCUCAUUCACUCUUACAAUCUCCUCCCUGAUAACUAGUUGCUUGAAAAUGUCACCAAAAGCCAUUCUACUCCAAUUAGACAAUGCAACUUUGGUAGUUUUCAGCUUUUGUUUCAAAUUUAUAAACAUAUCAACCUCUUCAGAAACCCAACUAUUCUUCACUACUUGGUGGAAAUUUGAUCUUUCAGUCCAAAAUUUAAGGAACCUGAAAGGUCUUCUAGGAACAUUAUUCUUCUGUUCACAAGAGAGCAACAUAGGAGCAUGAUCUGACAUUGUUCUCGCCAAAUGUUCUAUUUCUACCAUCCCAAAAUAUCCUAGACAGUCAUUAUUCAUCAUGUAUCUAUCCAGCAUUUUGAAAAUACAUUGAUUAUCAAUCCUCCCAUUCCACCAUGUAAAAGGGAUCCCUUUGUAAUUGACUUCCACCAAGUCACAAGAGUUUACACAAAAAGCAAAAUCCUCAUACUCAUUAGGAUAUACUGGCAGACCACCAAUCUUCUCUUUUUCAUUCAUAAUGACAUUAAAAUCACCCCCAAUCAACCAAGGAACAUUCUGAUUAGCAUAACUAAUACAGUAAAUUUCAUUCCAUAAUUGAACCUUUUCCUCAGCAUCACACUUGGCAUAUACUAUAGAAACAAUCAAUGAAUUAUUGUUUCCUGGAACAGUAACCUAAGAGUCAGCAUCUGCUCUGUAUCUGACAUCACUUCCACUUGGAUAUGCUCUUUAAUGAAUACCCAAAUUUUGCCAUUACAAUUAUAAUUAGCAUACUCUAUGCCCAAUCGCCUUUUGAACCUGUGUAUAUUGUUAAUAUUUUGAAAAGGCUCCAUCAAAGCAAUGAUAGAAAACUUGUGAAAUCUGUGUAACAUUUGAAUUUUAUGGAAUGAAUUUUGAGAUCUAAUAGACCUCACGUUCCAAAAUAAAGUCUUCAUCAUCAUUUAGACCCAUUCCUGGUCCCUCUUCUAGGAUUUGAUCUUAUAGGUAUCACUUCCCCUUUACCUUUCCCUCUAAGUGUUAUUGCUGAAGAAGGUGAGGGCUCUGCAUCUUCAGGAACCUUAUCUUCAAUCUGCAAAACUUCUUUUUCUUUACUAUUUUCUGUUGCACCACUAUUAACCAUUUCGUGACCCUCCAUAACCCUUGGUGUGACACCAUCUCAUCUAAGGUUUGAACUGGCUGUGAUUUAUAACAAAUCAUUUCUAGCUCCUGAUUUUUGUGCUCCUCCUCCUUCCAUUUUAAUAAUACAGACCCCGGCAGUUGAGGUGGAUACCACUCCUCUUUUGGCUCCACAAUUUGUAAAGGAAUUUGAAACAAAGCAUGUUCCAGGCUAUUUUCCAUUUGGUUGGUGGAAAGUUGUUGCUGACCUAAAUCAUCUUCUUUUUCUUGAAUUCUUACUAUCUCCAAACUCUCCUCUUUAUUGACCCUUGCCUCUCUCACCAAAGUAUCUCCCAUUUGUACCGAAAGCCCUUUGUCUUUUUGGUUUCUACCUGCACUAUUGUCCCUACCUUCUAAUUUUGUUGCCUCUAUUUUACCUCCAGCUUUAACAGACUCUUGAAUUGACUCACUCCUUACACCCACCCCUCCUCCUUGAACACUUGCAACAAUGUCCACCUCUCUCAUUAAAGGCUGAUCAAGCACUUCAAAAGAAUUAAAUUUUUUGAGGGUCCCCUCACUCUCUUGAACCUUAUUACUCAUUAAUUCUCCAGCAUUCUUUGUAAAAUUUCUACUAGUAGGCUUCCAUUUGCUCUUUACAACUCCUUUGUAAAAUUGCAUAUUAUCUGCUUGUUGUAUUGCUUUUGGUAUGUCAUUAUGUUGCUGCACCAACUCUGGAUGAAGUACCCUGCAUUCUUCUUCACCAUGCCCCUGUAAUUUACAUUUUUUGCAAUAAGCUAGUAAUGACUCAUAUUGAAUUUUUACUAUAACAACUCUAUUCUCAAGAGUGUUAUCAUCUUCUAACUGCAUCUGCACAAAUUCAAAUUUUUCAGCAAGCAGAUCCACUUGGACCUUCACCUUUGCACAACUUGGACGCGUUUUAUUUAUUGUUGCCAGGUCUAAUUGAAGAGGUUUACCAACCACGGACGCAAGAGAGAACAAUACUUCCUUCACAAAUAAAGUUGGCAACAAAUCAGGGAAGGAGAUCCAAGUCGUAGCCUUCUUCGUCUCUUCACUAGCUUUGAAGUUUGCAUCAUAUAUAAAUGCCCUCAUUUGAUAUGCAAAUCCAUCCUUUGCAAUUAUGUAAUAAGAAGUUUUAGACAGUAUCUUUAUGUAAUCCUCCAUAUGAUCAAAUCUCAUUAAAAUAUGUCUAUUACGAAGAUAUCCAAUCUGACACCCCCCAAUUAUCUAUCCCACACUGUUUUGGAAUCAAAGAUCUUAAUUCAUAAAUAUCAGGGGCUCCAUAGGAGAAUUUGCCCAC
rnacentral:lncRNA from 1 species